UGGUUAAUUCAACUUACAUUGGGGAUAGUGGAGAACAUUCCAUGACUGAUGUUGUUGUUUGCAUUGCUA
ensembl:miRNA